rnacentral:tRNA from 1 species
GCCCGAGUGGCUCAGUCGGUUAAGCAUCUGACUUAGGCUCAGGUCACGAUCUCACAGUUCGUGGGUUCAAGCCCAUGUAGGGCU